rnacentral:rRNA from 1 species
CACGUAGGCACCAAGCGUUAUCCGGAUUUAUUGGGCGUAAGGAGCUCGUAGGCGGUUCGGUAAGUCGGGUGUGAAAACUCUGGGCUCAACCCAGAGAGGCCACCCGAUACUGCUGUGACUAGAGUGCGGUAGGGGAGCGGGGAAUUCCUGGUGUAGCGGUGAAAUGCGCAGAUAUCAGGAGGAACACCAGCGGCGAAGGCGCCGCUCUGGGCCGUAACUGACGCUGAGGAGCGAAAGCAUGGGUAGCAAACAGG